GACACGACUCUCGGCAACGGAUAUCUCGGCUCUCGCAUCGAUGAAGAACGUAGCGAAAUGCGAUACCUGGUGUGAAUUGCAGAAUCCCGCGAACCAUCGAGUCUUUGAACGCAAGUUGCGCCCGAGGCCACCUGGUCGAGGGCACGCCUGCCUGGGCGUCACG
rnacentral:rRNA from 1 species